rnacentral:rRNA from 1 species
UACGUAGGAGGCAAGCGUUGUCCGGAAUUACUGGGUGUAAAGCGCGUGUAGGUGGGAGGCCAAGUCUGUGGUGAAAGCGCCCGGCUCAACUGGGCAGAGUCCAUGGAAACUGGUCACCUGGAGGACGGUAGAGGCGAGUGGAAUUCCCGGUGUAGUGGUGGAAUGCGUAGAUAUCGGGAGGAACACCAGUGGCGAAGGCGGUUGCCUGGAGCUUUGCUGACGCUGAGGCGCGAAAGCGUGGGGAGCGAGUCCGG